rnacentral:snRNA from 1 species
GUAGCUUUGGUGUGUGCGUUUAUU